GACGAACGCUGGCGGCGUGCUUAACACAUGCAAGUGGAGCGACGAACCGGGCUUCGGCCCGGGGCAAAGCCGCGAACGGGUGAGUAACACGUGGGUAACCUGCCCCGAAGACCGGGACAACCCGAGGAAACUCGGGCUAAUACCGGAUGUGUUCACCGUCCACAAGGACGAUGAGAAAAGGAAGCUUCGGCCUCCGCUUUGGGAUGGGCCCGCGGCCCAUUAGCUUGUUGGUGAGGUAACGGCUCACCAAGGCUUCGAUGGGUAGCUGGUCUGAGAGGACGAUCAGCCACACUGGGACUGAGACACGGCCCAGACUCCUACGGGAGGCAGCAGUGGGGAAUCUUGCGCAAUGCACGACAGUGUGACGCAGCAACGCCGCGUGGGGGAAGAAGGCUUUCGGGUCGUAAACCCCUUUCAGGAGGGACGAAGCUUCGGCAGCGAAUAGCUGUCCGGAGUGACGGUACUUCCAUAAGAAGCCCCGGCUAACUACGUGCCAGCCGCCGCCGUAAU
rnacentral:rRNA from 1 species